GCCCAGACUCCUACGGGAGGCAGCAGUGGGGAAUAUUGCACAAUGGGGGAAACCCUGAUGCAGCGACGCCGCGUGAGCGAUGAAGUAUUUCGGUAUGUAAAGCUCUAUCAGCAGGGAAGAAGAUGACGGUACCUGACUAAGAAGCCCCGGCUAACUACGUGCCAGCAGCCGCGGUAAUACGUAGGGGGCAAGCGUUAUCCGGAUUUACUGGGUGUAAAGGGAGCGUAGACGGCGAUGCAAGCCAGAUGUGAAAGCCCGGGGCUCAACCCCGGGACUGCAUUUGGAACUGUGUGGCUGGAGUGUCGGAGAGGCAGGCGGAAUUCCUAGUGUAGCGGUGAAAUGCGUAGAUAUUAGGAGGAACACCAGUGGCGAAGGCGGCCUGCUGGACGAUGACUGACGUUGAGGCUCGAAAGCGUGGGGAGCAAACAGGAUUAGAUACCCCAGUAUCA
rnacentral:rRNA from 1 species